UGACCCCCUCCUCUGGCCUCCUGCAGUCCUCAAGCUGCCCUCUCACAGUACCUAUGACACUUGUCCUCUCCUCCUCCUUCCCUCCCCCAAGGAAGUGAGGUCAGAGGGCAGGUUGCAGGGGCUGCUCCUCUCUGCCUGGCCCUGGGCCCCUGCAGAGGGAGAGGGUGGCAGGCUCUGGGCAGCUGGCGGUUGGGACUAAACCCAGGGCUUAGGGGUGGAGGCUGGAUCCUGUCCCCAGUGGAAGUGUCCCUUUAAUAGCUGCUGGCCUGCCGGCUUGGGCGCCUGCUUUAUCUCCUUUUCAGCUGUGGCUGCAGCUGCCGUGCUGACUCAUGCGCCCCAGCAGACAGCAGGAGCUGGAAGCAUGGGCUCCUCUGGGGCCCUGUCCGGCUGGGGACUUCUGGAUUACAAAACGAAGAAGUAUGUGAUAACGAGGAACUGGCGGGUGGGCGCCCUGCAGAGGUUGCUGCAGCUCGGGGCCCUGGCCUACGUGGUGGGGUGGGCUCUACUCGCCAAAAAAGGCUACCAGGAGCGAGAUCUGGACCCCCAGAUUUCCGUCAUCACCAAACUCAAAGGAGUUUCUGUGACCCAGAUCAAGGAGAUGGGUAAUCGGCUGUGGGACGUGGCAGACUUUGUGAAGCCACCACAGGGAGAGAAUGUGUUCUUCUUGGUGACCAAUUUUCUUGUGACACCAGAACAAGUUCAAGACAGAUGUCCAGAGCACCCCUCCAUCCCUCUGGCUAACUGCUGGGCUGAUGAGGACUGUCCGGAAGGGGAGACAGGGACACAUAGCCACGGCAUAAAAACGGGCCAAUGUGUAGAAUUCAACGGGACCCACAAGACCUGUGAGAUCCAGGCCUGGUGUCCUGUGGAGAGCAGCACUGUGCCCGUCAGGAAGCCUCUACUGGUCCAGGCAGAGAAUUUCACCUUGUUCAUCAAGAACACUGUCACCUUCAGCAAGUUCAACUUUUCCAAGUCCAAUGCCUUGGACACCUGGGACGCCACUUAUUUCAAGCGCUGUCUCUACGACUCUCGCUACAGCCCCUACUGCCCUGUGUUCCGCAUUGGGGAUCUCGUGGCUGCAGCUGGAGGAGUCUUUGAGGACCUGGCAUUGCUGGGAGGUGCUGUGGGCGUCCGAGUCCACUGGAAUUGUGACCUGGAUGCUGGGGGCUCUGACUGCCGGCCCUACUACUCCUUCCAGCUGCAGGAAACGAGCUACAACUUCAGGACAGCCACUCACUGGUGGAAGCCCUCAGGUGUGGAGGCCCGGAGUCUGCUCAAGCUCUAUGGGAUCCGCUUCGAUAUCCUUGUCACUGGGCAGGCAGGGAAGUUUGGGCUCAUCCCCACGACCAUCACUCUGGGCACCGGAGCAGCGUGGCUGGGUGUGAUCACCUUCCUCUGUGACAUGCUGCUCUUGUAUGUGGACGAAGAAGCCCAUUUCUACUGGAGGACCAAGUACGAGGAGGCAAAGGCCCCAAAGGUGACCACCAACCCUGAGCAGACAGACCCAGCUUCUGCAUCUCCGUGCGUGGCUGCCCAGAUGUCUUAGAGGGAACCCAGUCUGGGGAGCCAGACACCAACACCAGAGUGACCAUGCCAAGCCUCUGGCCCCCCACUCACUGGCAUCCCUGCUUGUUGCAGGGUGGGGGCUCCACUCUGGGGACCUCCUGGAUAAAGCCCCAGCAGGACUAGGGUGUGGGGGAGAGGAGAAUUCCACCCUUCCACUCCCAGACAGACCAUCCCUUCCCUGACUCCAGCUCCAGCAGGAUGCUGUCUGGGGGAGCCAGAGAAGCCAGUUUCAUCUAGAAACCUGCAGCAGAACAGGAGCCACAGAGAAGGGGAGCCCUGGGGGCAUCUAUGUGGCAAGGCAAUGGUCUGGUGGGGCUCCUGCUGUUGGGAGCCAUCCUGAACUCACUGGUUGAGUGAAAAUUCCUGGUAGAGAAUCAGGAGCAGAGAUGAUUGCCUGAUGAUCAGAAAGAAACGAGGCUCUCUCACUCUCUUUCGCUGACACUGUCCAUCCUUCAGGAAACCCUGGACCUGCUGGAGCUGGACUCCGGCAUCCUGCUGUGUCUAGGUCUAAGAACUCUCUCCCAACCUCCAUCACCAGUGUUCUCAGCAUUGGCCUGUUCACCAGCUGUCAGCACUGACCUUCCCAUUGGCUAGGGCAAAUUCCAGCCCUCCUCCCCUACGAGCACUCACAUCUUAAGUAGAACCCCUCCCUUUCAGCUGUGCCACCUGUCAGGGCAUCUGCACAUCCCCAGAAGGAAUGUCCCUAAUAAAGGACCCAAAGAUCCCCAGCAGACUGGCCUGGUAUCUUUUCAGGGUCUGAGUCCUACCUGCUGGAAAAUUACCCCCACCCCCACAGUCAGGAGGGGAGGAACAGAGGUUGCAGGAGUCAAACUCUCUCCUGUCCCAGGGAAGAGGCAAGGAUUUGGGAGUACAUACCCCAGGGAGGCAAGGAGCUUCCUUCUCAUGGGUCCCUGGUGGCCAGGGGUGUGCUGGCAGCUUGGCAGUGGAGUGACAAAGGCCAGUUGCGGAGCAGCAGGGCUGGGGCUCAGGCAAAACUAGCAUCCGGGAGGCACCUGGAACCCCAACAAAGCCUUGGGGUCUCUGAUACUUCUCAGUCCCUAGAGCAAUGUCCAUGGGGAGGCAGGUUCAGAAGAGCCAGGGUGAAAGAACAUGGCUCUGAGGCCUGGUUAUUGGAGUGGGAUCACAUGUAUCUGGUUGUCCUCAGGGCCCAGAGAAAGCUGUCAUAGCUUAAAAAAAAAAGUCAAGGA